UGGGAUGUAGUUCAGUGACAGAGCCUUUGUUCCAGGAUAUGUGGUGCCCUGUGCUAGAAAGAGGAAGGGAGUGAGGAAAAGAGGGAGAAAAGAAAGGAAGGAAGGAAGGAAGGAAGGAAGGAAGGAAGGAAGGAAGGAAAGAAGGAAGGAAGGAAGGAUGGAAAGUGGGUGGUGGAGGCAAGUAAGCGAGCAGUCCAAGGCAAAGAAACCCACAAUGUUUUCUGGUGACCUAGUGGUAGGAUUUGGCGCUCUCUCCACUGCAGCCUGGGUUCAAUUCCUGGACAGAGAAGUCUUUUUCUGACAACUGGAGAUGUAGCUCAGUGGUAGAGAGUUUUUCUGGCAUGUUAAAAUCCAACACUGAUAUAUAUAUAUAUUAGAGAGAGAUAUAGAUAUAUAGAUGGACGGACGGACAGACAGACAGAGUUAGCACUUUCUUGACACUGGGUUUAACUAAAAACUGACUCUUUCAAGGAGUGUUCCGUGUCUCCCUAACUCCCAAAGCACUUCUCUUUCAGGUGCAGGAUGGAUCUGCCUUUCUCUGGGUUCCGGGCACCUCUCCUUGCCCAUCUCUUUCUUUGGUGUAUGUGAGGUGCUGGUCAUUGUACCCUUCAGACUCACAUUCCAUACAUCUGUGAGCCGGCGCCUUGUUUCUGCCGAGUGACUAUUCACCAGCUAGUGACCUGGUGUCCUUUCUUGUCUCCCUGCCUACUUCCUUCAGCUUUACAUUUCCCUUAUCAGCUUCUUCAGAGAGGACCACAGCUGGCUUCAGUUUCUCUCCCUCAGCUCAGUUAUUUGUGCUCACCUGAUCCUUCCUCUUGGGAACUUGCAUGUUUGCUUUGUUUAAAUAUUUUAUCCACACCUCUCUUAUUCUUUCCAAUUAAUCUUUAUUCCUCAUUUAUCGAUUUUUAGGGUUACUUCCUUUUCUGGUCUUGCUCUUUUGCUAUAGCAAAAAAAAAAAGAACUAAUAUGCACCAAUUUUGCAAUAACGUUUAGAAUUCCUUUAUGGAAAUGGUGUCUGAGGCCCUUUAAAUGCAGUGGGGCUUUGUUUAUUGCCUAUUAUAUUGAAAUAACAUAGUUUUCAUUGCUAUUAAGGGGAGAGAGCUGAGGGCCAGGACGAGAACCCGUCCAGGAGGACCACUCUCAAGGGCUGGGAUUAGCUGGAUUACUUGUUCCUUCCUUUCCCUUUCUAGCUUGCUUUUGUGAUUUGCUUUCAUAUAUUUUUUCAGACUUUUUUUUUUAAGAUUAUUUAUUUAUUUAUUUAUUAUGUAUACAACAUUCUGCCUUGAUGUAUGCCCACACGCCAGAGGAGGGCGCCAGAUCUCAGUACAGAUGGUUGUGAGCCACCAUGUGGUUGCUGGGAAUUGAACUCAGGACCUCUGGAAGAGCAGCCAGUGCUCUUAACCUCUGAGCCAUCUCUCCACCUCCCUCAGACUUUUUUUGAAGCAGGAACUUGCUAUGUAGCUCAGCUGGCCUGGAAGCAUGGCUUUGCUGUUUCAGCUCCACCCCCGGGGUUCUGGGAAUCUACCUAUGAACCCAUCUUUGCUUUUGCUGUAGUAUUUAUUGCUUCCAAACCUCAUUCACUUUCCUUGAAUCCUGUUUUGUUCUGUUUUUGGAAAAUGAGUAGAUAAAUGGAAGGAACGUGGACUUUGAACUAUAAAUAAACUCAAGUUUCAACACUAUCUUUCCACGUACUAGACAUGAGUUCUCGGGCAAGUUACACUUUUAAUUUUUCCUUCUGACCACUGAGUUUUAAAAUAUAAAUCACAGUUUUAAGGCACAUUGCUUUCUAGAGACACCCAACAAGUUUAUUUAUUAUUUCCUUACACCUUUGAUUUUCUCUCACACUCUUUCUCUAGUCUCUUACAAUUUGUGAAUUUUUUAAAAGAAUAUUUGAGAUAGGGUUUCUUUGUGUAGUCCAGGCUAUCCUGGGACUUACUCUGGAGACCAGGCUGGGCUCAAACUCAGAGAUCCACUUGCCAGUUCUUCUUGAGUGCUGGGAUUAAAGGCAUGUGUCAUCACCACCACCCAGCUGUGAUUGGGUUUGAAUGAGUCUAUACACUUAAAAUUUUGAAAAAGCAUUUUCUUCUUCCUGCCUUCUUGAUGCAAUGUCAUCAAUGUAAUGCAACUGCCAAAAACAAUUAGCUUUUACAAUCCUGGAAAAAGUGUCAAUUCACUGUAGGGAAUAAAUGUGUCUGGAAUCCCAGUAUUAGAACCUGAAGGUAUAGUUGAGCUCAGCUGCAUAUGAAGAUAAGCAAUUUGGUCAAACCCGCAGUGGAGAACAUGUGAUUCUUAAGGUUUCCACAAUGCAGGAGAAUACUCUGUAUUCUCCCCACCCCCCCUCCCGUGUGUGUGUAUGUGUGUGCAUGUGUGUGAGGUUUCCACACUGCAGGAGAAUACUCUGUAAUUUUUUUUCUUUCCCCCGUGUGUGCCUGUGUGUGUAUGUGUGUGCAUGUGUGUGCAUGUGCACACAUGCACUAGUUGACACUGGGUGCCUUCCCUAGACUGCUUCUCCACCUUAUAUUUUCAGACAGGGUCUUUCGUUGAACCCGGGGAUCCCGUCUUCUCUGUAGUUUCUGUAGUGCUGGGUUCACAGGCACGAGUCUGUGUGCCAGGCUCUGUGUGUGGGUACUGAUCACCUGUCUCAUGUUUGUGCUGUCUUCACUUUGGCACAGGGCUGCGCCUUAAUCUACUGCCAUUUCAGCCAGCAAUUGUGACUUUGCAGUUACGGCCUGGCCUGCUUGUCUGGCAGUGGCCCAGCCACUCAGGCUGAAGCCUGGCAGGAAUUCUGUUCCCCCCCCCUGCACCAGCUCUGCGGCUGCUGCUAAAGGUGGCAUCUUCUGGUGCAUCUCUGUCUCUUCUAGAUGUUCUCUGAUGACUUUCUGUCAACUAGUAGAUCAUCACUCAGCCUCCUGACCCACGAUCAAUUUUAUUUAGUUAGCACAAAUGCAGACUCGGGGUUCACAGUAUAAACAAAUGUCUCCCAAUAAGCUUGUGCAGCAAAUAUUUUACCAACUGAGCCAUCUCUCUAGCACCAAGCACUUUUUGAACUGAGGCAUAAUUCAUAUAGCAUAAAAUGAACUAUUCUUAGCUGUACAAUAUGGUAGUACUUAGUAAAUUCACAGUAUGGAAUGGUCUUGAUCACUGGGGGUGUGAGGCUUUCACUUCCUGUGUCCCCUCACACCAGUUCCUGCUAAUCGCUGGUUGACUUUCUAUCUUGAUGGGUUUAGUUUUUUGAAUGUUUCAUAUAGAAGGAAACAUACAAUGUAUGUUCCUUUGUGUUUGGCUUCUUCCACUUAGCAUAAUGUAUAGUUUUCCUGUUCCUACUGCCAGCUCCAAAAUAAAUGCAGAGCAACUUAAUAUUAAUAUAAGUGUUUGGCCAAUAGCUCAGGCUUAUUACUAACUAACUCUUUCAUUUUAAAUUAACCCAUAUUCAUUAUUUAAGCUCCUCCAUGUGGAGAUGCCUGCAUUGGCAUGGCACAUUCGUUUCCUGCUCCCUCAGCAUCUGAAUGGCAACUCCAGACUCGGCCCUUCUUCCUCCCCUCAUGCUUAAUUUGGCUCUUCUGCUUAACUCUAUCCUGUUCAGCUAUUGGCUAGUCAGCUCUUUUACUAAACCAAUCACAGUGACAUAUGUUCACACAGUGUACAGAAGUAUUAUUCCACAGCAUUAAUGCCUUUGGUAAUCAAUAAACAUUAUUAAUAAAUUUCAAGUAUUACAGAAAAGGAAAAUGAAGAAAAUAAAACAUUCUGCAGUCCCAAUCAGCUCUGAUGAGACCUCUUGCAGUGUGGCUGGUAUUGCUAGUGCUACUGUCAUAUAAACAGGCUAGCACAAUUUGUACCCUUUUUUUCUUCCCAGCUCAGUUUUCUAUUUCAUGCCCUGCAUGCAACUUGUUCCUGCUGUCUGCAUGUGCAUCACUUCCUUCUCUUUUUUAGUAUGGGAUGGCAGACUAGGUGGUCUGACAAAUCUGGAGCAGGAUAUUCUUUUCUCUCUCCUUUUCCAGUUACUUGCUUAGUAAAAUAAUUUGCUUUCUAAUCCGUCCAGUGUGAGUUAUCCUGAAAUCCUGCUAUUGUAGAAAUAAAUGGGCAAGGUUUGUAUUUCUGCAGAAUCAGGGUUGUGUGACAAGACUUUUCCCAGGGAGAUGCAACACACACACACACUCACACACACACACACACACACAAACACUCACACCUACUUACCUCAGAUAGAGAGCCCACAGCAAACCAAAGAACAGAUACCAUCAAAGUCCAAAUUGGUGAACCAACAAAUUAUAUUGCUUUAUAGGAAUGUUGGUGAGGAGUUACUUACAGGGCCAGAAGUGAUUCAAAGACAGCUGCACCACCAAAGCCCACCCUGUAUGAGUGACGACAGCUCGUAAAAGCUGAAAACCUGGAGCUUGCUGCACAGCCUGCACUUGCCGUGGGCCUCUUCCACACAGCUCAGCUGUCCUCUGCUUCUUUCGGGAUGCUUGGCUGGUCUCCCAGUCUUCUUUGCAGCUUGGUUCCUCUGAGAGUGAUGCUCAGUGGUCUUGACUGUUUCUGCUCGGGGAGGAAGAGGCCUAGUAAAUCUGGUGGGCUUCAGGAACUUCCUGAAGUGAUUUUUGAGUUGUUUACUUCCUGCCCUAAGUAGCUUCCCUACAAGUUGGAGAGUUUCAGUCUCAGAGGAAACUACUACACGAUGGUCAGCUUGGGUGUGAGGAGUUUCACACAUCAGUCUGUUGUGUAGCCCUUUCCACUCCACAGGGAAGCUGGUUAAACAGCUCUAAAUAACUCUAGGAACUUCCUGAAACUGACCAGAUUCACUAGGUCCCUCCCUCCCUAAGAAUGUAUAAGCAAUAACGCCCACAGAUAGUUACUGUCCGUCAAGGCCAGGCUAGGAAAAGAAGCAGCAAUCAGUUAAACUGAGUUGUCUGGAAGAGGCUCUGGCCAACACCUGGAAAGGAUACUCUCCAACAGAACGAGCUGCCUACAGAUAGUGCAGUGUGUGUCUGUGAGUCAUCACUCGUGCUGGGGGUGCGCUUUGGUGAUGCAACUGUCUUUCUUUUUCUAUAAGUAACUACAAUAAAACUUGUUGGUGAAAGAAAAUGAACUGGCUCAGGACCUCCAAGACCAAUUUCUCAGCAUAAAGGAGUUUUAUUGCCCCAGAGGGAGAUAGGGCAGGAAGUAAAGAGACAAAGAGAAGAGAAAGAGGAUGAGGGAGAGGGGGAAAGGAACAAAGAAAAGCGGGUAGAGAUAUUUGUCCUGGUGAGACAAAGGACUGCUUCUGGAAAGAGAGGAGUCAGAUGUGGCCCACAGGCAAAUGGCAGCUUAUAAAGGUAAAAUGGAUCCCCUGUGUUAGGAUGGGGUGUUUAAUUUUCAUUGGACAAGUUUAUUAGGCAAGCCAAAGCAGCUUUUGAUUGCUGGACUUCAAUAUUUUGAUGCUGGACUUCAAUACUUUGAUAGCUGGACCUUGGUGGUCUAUUUUAGGAGGAGGAAGUGGCCAAAUACAGGACUAGACCUUGGUGGCUAGCUUUAGGAAUGUAACCCAAUGUUUUUUUUUUUAAAUAUUUAUUUAUUUAUUUAUUAUGUACACAAUAUUCUGUCUGUGUGUAUGCCCACACACCAGAAGAAGGCACCAGACCUCGUUACAGAUGGUUGUGAGCCACUAUGUGGUUGCUGGGAAUUGAACUCAGGACCUUUGGAAGAGCAGGCAAUGCUCUUAACCACUGAGCCAUCUCUCCAGCCCCAACCCAAUAGUUUUUAGCAGAGGGACUCAGGCAGAAGGGCCCCAGAGCCAUGCCUGACAUGCUCCAGCUGGCCAGGGUCCCUUCAGUUGGUUCACAAGUUGAACUUUGAUGAUAUCUGUACUUCGGUUUGUUGUGGGCUCCUAUAUGUGGGUGGGAGAGUAGAAUGUGUGUGCACUGUGUCUCCCCAGGAAAAGGUCUGUCGGGUAUCAAAUUAAAGCUCAGUAUACCUUGAGACUGUUUCUAAUUUGAGAUUCAUUUGAUCCUGGAAUCAAAACCCAAAUCAAGGCAGUGCUCAAGAAUGCAGAGGAAAGCCCCUGAGACCGGGACUCAGGAAGCCUGGACUCAGUUUCUCUUCCACCAGAGGCUAGACCUGGGCCUUUGGAAUGUGAUUUACUUAUGGAGCCUCGUUUCUUCAUCUUUCAAAUAAGGCUGAUGAGCCAGGCUGUGGUGGCGCACACUUUUAAUCCCAGCCCUUGGGAGGCAGAGGCAAAAGGAUCUCUGUGAGUUUGAGGCCAGCUUGGUUUACAGAUCAGUUUCCGGGACAGUCAAGGCUACACAGAGAAACCCUGUCUUGAAAAACAAAAACAAAACAAAACAAAACAAAAAAAAAAAAAAGGAAAGAAAUGGGGUCGAUGGAUGGAGUGGGUGGUCAGUAUGAUGAAGACUAAGCUUCAGCUUAUAUCAUCAUUCAUGCAAUUGUGCCUCUUGCUCUGUUUCCCAAGGCCAGGACCCCCGAGUCUGCUGUGGUGUGACCCCUUCCUCCCUCCGUUAUCUCUGGUUGAUUCAGUGGUAGCCACUUGUGACAAGUCAAGUCUGUCAAAAUCUUUCUCUAGGACUUUUGAAUGUGAACCACAGAAUGUAUGAACAGUUCCUCUCUUGUGGUGGGAGCCUGUGAGAAGUGAAACUCGGUAGCCAUUGGUAACCGUAUUAUCAGCGUAGUGAGGUAUUAAUGUGGAUAGGAUAAAGACUGGGUUCCCUGCCCCGUGAGGAAGCAGUCACACAAAAAGGAGCAACCUCUAAAUGUGAUGUUUGGAUCGUGUCCUGGAACAGAACCCAAAACUAGGAAAGAAAAAAAGAGUGAAGCUUCGGGUAAAUUCAUGCGUCGACGCGACCACACCCAGUUCUGGGGACGUCUGUGAAAGCGGUUCUGUGAGAGUAACAUUUGAAUGAAUGCACAGGCAAAGCAGAUGGUCCUCCCUAGGGUGAAUGGAAGGCCUGAAGUGACCCAGGGGGACGGUUUGCCCUGUUUGCCUGCCUUAGAGCAGGGACGCUGGUCUCCCCAUCCUUCAGACUUGUUCUCAGGCCAGGAGUGCCAUCGCCGGCCCUCCUGGGUCUCCGGGUGGCUCACUUUUUCAGAUCCCGCAAGCAUGCCAUUGCCUCUGCCACCUCAUGACAAGUCCAGUACUCAAAGGCAGAGCGGGAGGAUCACAUGUUUGAGGCCAGCCUCGGCGGCUACAGAGUGAGACCCUCAACAGCCAAGGGCCUGGAGCGCAAUGGUAGCCACGCUGUGCACAGCGUCAGGUCCUGUCCCCAGGGCUGCCUGUUGAAUGGGAAGGGCUAUUGGUGACUUUCAAGUCUUUUACAUAUGUUCUUCCUAUGUUUAACUGUUUUUUUCUAUGCCACACCUUUAAAGUGGAGUUUAGCUGUAAUGUGACACCAAAUCUAGUUCAUUUAAGAAACGGUUCAUGAAGAAGACUACCCAUCUUAAAGAACAGGCCUUUUCCUCCUCCUUCAAGAACAUCUCUGCUUCCUGCCUUGCGCUCCUGUGGCGACCUUUCACAGUGAUGGAGUGUGGCCUGUGAGACGGAGAAACCCUUUCUCCUCUGGCUGCUUUUGGUCAUGGUGCUUGCGGCAGCAAGCGAGAAACAAACUAACACAGAGAUUGGUACCUGGAAUGUGAAGGACCUGACCAUGUUGCAUUUUGGAAGGUCAUGGAAGGUUUCUUUGAGCUUUGGACUGGAAAAGUCAUUGAGCACAUAGACCUCAGCAUGCUGUUCUUUGGGAACUUGGAAGAUGAGCAUGUUGAGAGAGAUGCAUUUGGUGGAGGUCUGGGCUGUGAAGUUUCAGAUAGAAGCAAAGACCCUAUCAGGGCCAUUUGUACAAUAUAUUUGAAUUAAUAAUCUUUAGCAGUAAAACCUUUGCUUUAUUGAGACAAUUAGUGCUGGUUAGUUGGGGGCUGAAAUGAAUAAGAGACUAGCAUCACUGAGGCAAAACCUUUUAGGAAGUUAUUUUCUCAGGACCAGCACACAGAAGUUGGGGUCUGGUGAGGCUAAGCCUACACUCCAGUUGGCAGUGGACUUUGUAGUGUGUACAACUCUCCCACAUGGUGCUGGGUUUGAAGCAUGAAGUGGUCACUGAGAACAGCUGAAGCUUCGCUUGGUUCGGCAGGGUCAGGGUUCCUGAAGAAAAGCCAGGAGGCCAUUGGUGAAGGGGCAGGCUCAGUUAUAGUGGAGAUGCCAGAACUGUGGGACAGCCACCAACACUGUGGCAGGUGUGGUUUGGCGCUGAUCUGAGCCUACCAGAUAAACUGUGUGUUGGGUGGCAAAGUUGGAGAGGUGGGGCUACUCAGGAUAUUUGGAGCUCAGAAAAUCCUGAGUGAGACUAUGUAGACCAGGCUGGCCUCAGACUCAGAGACAUCUUCUUGUUUCUGCCUCCUGAGUGCAGGCAUUAAAGGUGUGCACCACCACACCCUACUGGACUGUGUUUUACACUGCGAGAGUAAUAUGAAAUCUUAUGGACAAGUUCUGGUUUAAUAGUGGUGUGUUAUGUGUAAAGAAACAGGAGAGAUCGUGUCAAAAAGUAAUAGAAUUGACUUCCAAAAAGUUGUUCCCUGGCCUCCAUAGGUGGGGUGUGGGUGCACACACACAAUCUUUUUUUUUUUUAAGAAAAUCAAAAUUGUUAGUUAUCAAUAAAAAUUCAGUGAAAUGGUUCCUGUGGUAGGAUAUACUCCCUCAAAUAUUUUACUGCAGGAGGGAAAAUAGGCAUCCCAGAAUUUGAAGCACAGAGAGAAAAAUGACAAGCGGAGGAGAGUGGAGAGUUCUGGUAUCAGAUAAAUAUGGGUUUAAGCCCCCCUCCGCCCCCCGACUUUGUGUCGUCUGUGAAGUUAUUCAUCCUUUUUAAUGCUGCCUUACUUCCCCAUCAGGACCAUCUUGUCAACUUCACAGAUUAUUUAUUUAUGCUGAGACAGAGUCACAUCAGGCUGGCUUUGAACUUGUGCAACGGAGGAUGAACUUCGUCCAUGGUCUGUGUUGGGGUUACAGGCAUGGGCCACCAUGUCCUGCUUAUGUCAUCUUGAAGACUGAAUCUCGGUUUAAUGCAUGGUCCUCAGAAGUGUCAGGCAAGCACUCCGCCGGUUGAUCUGCAUCCCCAGCCCGUUACUGAGUUUUCAUAAGACUUUAAGUGUGUGUGUGUGUGUUUAUGAGAUAAAUUGCCACUCAAAAUUUUAUAACUUCCAUGCUUAAAAGAGAACUCAUUUUCUGUGACUUUUUUUUUGGGGGGGAGUGCCAUUUAAAAAUAAAUCUUGGGCCACUGAGAUGGCUCAGCUGGUAAGGAAGCUGCCCCAAGUCUGACGACCUGAGUUCAAUCACCGGAAUCCGCAGGCUAGGAGGAGAGCGCCAGCUGCCACCAAAUUGCCCUCUGAUCUCCACAAGGAUGCCAUGGUACAAUACCUCUCUCAAAUAAAUAUUGAAUAUAAAAAUAAAUUUCAGCUGUGCGUGGUGGCAUAUUUGUGUAAUCCUAGCGUUUGGGAAAUAGAAGCAGGAGGGUCAAGAGUUUAAGGUCAUCCUUGGCUACAUAGUGAGUUCAAGGGUACCUGGGACUACAUUAAACCUGUCUCAAAACUACAGGCAAGCUGGGUGUGAUGGCUCUUGCCUUUGAUAUUAGCACCAGGGAGACAGAGGCAGGUGGAUUUUUGUGAGUUCCAGGCUAACCUGGUCUACAGAGUGAGUUCCAGGCCUGCCUAGGCUGCACAGUAAGACUCUGUCUAAAGUAAACAAGCAAGCAAACAAACCUCCAAAACUACAUAUUUGCUGAUGGUCAUGUACUAGACAGCAUAGUUGUUUUCCAAGCCACUCCUUUCCCUUCUUUUGGUCCAACUCUGGAUUUCUAUAAUAUUUCCUGGGUAUUAAAAAAAAAUAAGUUCUCACUAUGUAGCUGUAAUUUUAGCUGAGGCUGGCCUGAAGUUUUCUUUGCAGCAAGGCUGACCUUAAACUUUGGAUCCUCCUGCUUCUACCUCCUGAGUGCUGGGAUUCCAGGCAUGGACCACCAUGCUCCACUUCCCUGGGAUUCUUGCUGUUAGUUGCCUUUUGGCUUGGUUCCCAGUGACUCCUAGUAAACCAGGCUCCCUGUGUCUUCAGAGCCUUGGCUCCUAUUGGUUGUUCUCCUUCAAUUCUCCUAUGACAAAGACCUAGGUGGCUUCUCCUUUGGUCAAGUCUUUGCUUAAACUUAACACCCUCAGCAAACUCCUUCGUCAUCUACUCCAAUGGUACCCUGCUGUCCUGCCUCUCUCUCUUCACUCAUCUGCAACGUUUUCUUCAUUGUGUCUCUCCCAUCCUGGCAUGUUAUUACAUAGCUUUUUUAUUACCUGCAUCUUCCCCCAUGAAAGCUCUGCUGCUCCAUGCGGCUGUUCCGGCAAGGCUGGCGCACUGCCUGUGAAGUGCUCUGGUUGGUGGAGGGAAGGGUUCCCAAAAGAGCUUCUAUGGAAGGCAGGAGGAGUCCUGGGCUAGGUGGGGUACCUGCUGGUAGGACCUGUUCCCUCUGGCCCUCUCUCACCGACCUCUCCACAGCCUUGGCAACAUCCUUUCUUCCUGAUUCCUCCCCGCUGGACCCUUUUAAAGUGCUGCUGAACCUGGGACUGACCUCUCCACGCUUUCCUCAGUUCCUUGAUUUAAUGAGAAUCUUUAAAUGGAGGAAUGGAGCCAAGAACAAUGGCACUGAGCACCUGUUUCCUGACCUUUCUGACAGCUCAAGGAUGUGGGGAAGAAGUCCCGCUACCGUUAGCCAGGGUGUUUCUGGUCCACCGUUGUGUGCCGUGUAAUCCCCGUCCAGAGCCUGCCCAGAGUUCUCCUUAAUCAGAUCACGGACUCUCUUCUUCUCACGGGAUUGGAAAAUUGGUUGCAUUAGCUUUUUUUCAAUGAUAUUUUGUUGAGAAUAAAAUAGAAACUUAUUGGAUUUUAGUUUUUCUUUUGUAACAGGAUUAGCACAUGGCUUUAAACAAUAUUCGCCUUGAAUUUGAAGCCACUUUGAAAGAAUAAGUAUUAUAUAAUUAUGAUAUUUAUUGACUUAGAAUUAUCUACAAUUUAUAAUGAUGUUGAUACGACCAUUUAUUAAGCUGAAGAAGGUGUUGUGUCAAGAGGUUUCGCAUUAUCUCGUGCACAGUUCUGUCACACGGGCCGUAUUCAUUAGCUGCUGUUGUAUGACUGUUAGCCUGGUAAGCACCUACACACACACACACACACACACACACAUACACACACUCCUUUCAUUUAAUUUUCUCAAUCCUAUGGCAAGGGUAAUGUUAUUGUCCCCAUUUUGCAGAUAAAGAAUCCAAGGCUUAGAGAAAUGUGGAUAAGUGAGGGAAGCACAGGCAGGGAGUCUUAGCAAAACUGAUUUCCCACAGCUUUUAGAAGCUCAAAGUCCAAAGUCAAGGAUGCACUGGCUUCUGCUCUCUUGCUUCAGGUAGCUUAUUCUCUUCCAGGAUUACUUUCUGAUGCCUCUUCCUCCUCUUAUAGCCACACCAAUACGAUCCCAUUACAGUUUGUAUUGAAACAGGGUCUUACUAUACAGGCAUGGCUGGCCUGGAACGCGUUAUGUAGACCAGCCUGGCAUCAAACACACAGGACACAGGAUACCCUUACCUCUGCCUCCUGGGAUGCUGGGAUGAAAGGUGUGAGCCACAACUCUCAGUUAACACGUUUCUCUUUAGUAAGACUUUCUCCUUUUCUGUUUCAGCUCUCCAGAGAGCUUCCUCUUGCUCACCAGUCCUCACAGUUAAAUGCAGGAGCAAGCAGUGCUGGCUUUGAACCUGCAGACCUGCUCCCGCCAUCUGGCUUCUGUGUCUCCCAUGGGGUCAGAAUUCCUGGGAAGCUUCUGCACAGGAGCCUUCCAGGCGCUCCCGUUUUGGUGGGCCUGGUUUUAAUAAGUGCCCUCCGUUCCCAGUAACCACACUCAGGCAACUAACUGUUCGGUGGUCCGGGUCUCCCUGGUCUGGGUGAGUGUUGGGAAUGAAGAAUACUAAACAACACCCUUGCUGGCGGCUGUCCCUGACUCAGUCUUUGGAAUUCUCACUUCUUUGCCCCAGUUCCAGGACGCACAACUAGUUGUCUCUGCUCUGCCUGGUUCUGGGGUUCCCCUCCCAUGUGUCUAUGGACAAAUGCAUGUUCCCAGCCCGUACAGCAGUGAUGCAUGCUGCUUGGUUUCUAAUCCUUGCUCUGCUGCUAUGAAUUGCUCACGCCAAUGACGAUUGCACGGUGAAGAAGGGGCCCUGUAGAAGCUGGUGGGGAUGCUCUUAACUGUGAAAGUUGGGUGAUGUGACGUUAAAUUAAUUAAUUUGUUUUUUUUUCCUAGAUAGAGUCUCUCUGUGUAGAUCUGACUGUCCUGGAACUCACUGUAGUCCAGGCUGGCCUUGAACUCUGAGAUCCCCCUUGCCUCUGGCUCCUGAGUACCGAGUACCGGGAUUAAAGAAAGGCAUUGCUCCACCAUGCUGGAUUUAGUGACUUUAAAUUCUUAACUUCCUGCAGUACAGGACUGUGUGGUUUCAGUCUCUUUGGACCUCCACUUACCGACCUGUAAAAUGGGUUGGGAAUGGUUGCUGUGUGUGUGCUGAAGAGAGGGUGUGUGGAGGAAUGAUGCAUGCAGCGAAGGGGCAGAUGGGGAAGACAGGCUUUAUGUGAAACUUCCUAAGGUGUUGAAUCUGCCGGGAUCUAAUGGGAGCUGACCACCUGCCACGAAGGAAAAAUUAGUUUCUUGUGUUUGUCCUUCCUCAUGUGGGGUGCCUGCUAAAGGCUUGCCACUUCGAAAGUGUCAUUCUAGACCACUGGUUCUCAGCCUUCCUAAUGCUGUGGCCCUUUAAUACAGUUUCUCACGGUGUGGUGAUCCCCACCCAUAAAUUAUUUCUGUUGCUACUUCACAACUGUAAUCUGCCUCUGUUAAGGAUUGUAAUGUAAAUACGAUCUAAUAUGCAGGAUGGCUUUAGGUGACCCCUGUGAAAAGGUAGUUUGAUCCCAAACCGCUGCUCUUGCCUGCAUAUUUUUGUUUGUUUGUUUUUGUUUUUUUGAGGCAGGGUUUCUCUGUAGCUUUGGAGCCUGUCCUGGAACUAGCGCUUGUAGACCAGGUUGGUCUCGAACUCACAGAGAUCAGCCUACCUCUGCCUCCCGAGUGCUGGGAUUAAAGACAGUAGACAAACACACACCUCACUUUGAAAUAGGAAGGACCAUUGUAGGGUCCAACUUAACUUCACCCGCUAGUUCAUAUCCACUGAUCAUCUAGGAGAAAACUGGCUACAGAGAGCUGGAGGUGCUCUCACCCUGGUCGGCAGAGCAUUGGUAGUUGCUCUGGCUGCUUUAAAGAAGGCUGCCCCUCUCACUGGAGUGAUUGGGGUGGGGAAACGGAUAUGGGGAAACCCUGCACUGUAUUUCCUUUCUUGGCUCUCUAAGGCUUGGAAUCUUCCCGGACAGAACUACCGAGGGCGCCCUCUAGAGGUCUAUUUGCUGCCAUUACUAAGUGAGGCUCUGCAUUUAGCAGUGACAAGUUGCUGCACACAAGUAGGAGGCUACAGUAUGUGAGCACCGGAUAACCAAGGACCGAGAACCUGAAAAUGAAAUCAGAGCACAGGAGGAAAUGGUUUGAUGCCCAAGUCACCAGUGCCUACGAGAUGGUUUUCUAGGAAGCGGGUGUUUGCAGAGACACAAUGAGAGGGUGGUGGGGAGGGCGGGCUCUGGAGGAGGCUUCUCUGAGCACAGGGAUAUCUGAGAAUGAAGUGCUAAUUUGAAA